UACGUAGGCAGCAAGCGUUGUUCGGAGUUACUGGGCGUAAAGGGUGUGUAGGCGGUUGUUUAAGUUUGGUGUGAAAUCUCCCGGCUCAACUGGGAGGGUGCGCCGAAUACUGAAUGACUUCGAGUGCGGGAGAGGAGACUGGAAUUCCCGGUGUAGCAGUGAAAUGCGUAGAUAUCGGGAGGAAUACCGAUGGCGAAGGCAGCUCGCUGGGACGGUACUGACGCUGAGGCGCGAAAGCGUGGGGAGCAAACAGG
rnacentral:rRNA from 1 species